UACGGAGGAUGCAAGCGUUAUCCGGAAUUAUUGGGCGUAAAGCGUCCGUAGGUGGCUAAUCAAGUCUGCUGUCAAAGCGUGGAGCUUAACUCCAUACCGGCGGUGGAAACUGAUGAGCUAGAGUGCGAUAGGGGUAGCAGGAAUUCCCAGUGUAGCGGUGAAAUGCGUAGAGAUUGGGAAGAACACCAGCGGCGAAAGCGUGCUGCUGGGUCUGCACUGACACUGAGGGACGAAAGCUAGGGGAGCGAAUGGG
rnacentral:rRNA from 1 species